rnacentral:lncRNA from 1 species
GAAAAUCUAAAAACAAAAAUGUCAAAUCCAGUGUUUGUGUCAAUCUUGAUGCUUGUGUGUUUGAAUAUUUCAACAGCUUCAGUUGAUUUAGUGAGUGUGAGUGAGUUAACAACAAAUCCCCUAUUUUUGAAACUCAUCUAAAUGACUCAAAAAUCAACAUACUCUCUCUUUCAAUAGUCAAUAACCUGCCCUUUGGCUCUCUAGAGUUAAUUAUGGGUUGCAGCUUUGAUGGCGGGUUAUCUCAUAAUUUACAAAUUGGAAAACCUUUUCCUUUUUAUCCAACUUUGAAACAAGAAAUGUCGAUUAGUUGGUCUUCACACAUUUAACAUUCCUGCUAUAUGAUCGUGAUCAAGAAGGUGGAUUAGUUCAUCAAAAAGUAUUUUGGUCUGUGAGGAAAGAUGGUCUAUAUCAUAGUUGGGAUAACAGCAAUUUUGAUAAAAAGGCGAAUUGGGAUAAUGAAUGAUGUAAGACAUUUUU